rnacentral:rRNA from 1 species
UACGGAGGGUGCAGGCGUUAUCCGGAUUCACUGGGUUUAAAGGGUGCGUAGGUGGGUUGGUAAGUCAGUGGUGAAAUCUCCGUGCUUAACAUGGAAACUGCCAUUGAUACUACUGGUCUUGAAUUUUCCGGAGGUAAGCGGAAUAUGUCAUGUAGCGGUGAAAUGCUUAGAUAUGACAUAGAACACCAAUUGCGAAGGCAGCUUACUACAGGGACAUUGACACUGAGGCACGAAAGCGUGGGGAUCAAACAGG